CAGUCAGACCAAAUUUGCAAUUAGCCAUGCAUUUUCGUAAAACUGCCCAUAUUUGAGCUCUACAUAGUUAAUGUCUCUCAUAAAAAGGUUUCAAAAAUGAUUUUUU